AUGGACAUGAACGCGGUGACACGGAUGCCCUGCCAUUUCAUAAGGCGGCGAUGGACUUGGGACGCUGACAACGCGUUGGCGCCGCUGACAACAAACGCAGUUCUGGCUGUGCAUGACGAGAAACCGGAGUCAACCAUGGAAGCCGUGAGGCACGUUGUGUUGACAAAGAACUAUGCUGAGCUAAUUGAUGAAGCGUGCAAGAGUGAUGAGACAGCGAGAGUCACAGAAAAACACAGGAAGGCCCUGAAAAGAGAGCUUGAUGAGAUCAAGAAGAGGAAAGCUGGGGAAGCCUUACCCCGCACAUCAAGUGUGCCUUCGUCCAUGGGGCCAUCAUCUGAAAACUCAGAGAUAGGAUUUGGAACAGCAAGCACACAAACCCAGGUCAGGAACCCGCCCUGUUCCAUCACAAAGGGGCGUCCAAAAGAGAUAAGAUACAAAUCGGGAUUGGAGAUUCAAGCAAAACACAAGAAAACAAAGAAAGGGACGGGCAAUCUGUAA
rnacentral:rRNA from 1 species